rnacentral:rRNA from 1 species
AACAGGAUUAGAUACCCUGGUAGUCCACGCCGUAAACGAUGUCGACUUGGAGGUUGUGCCCUUGAGGCGUGGCUUCCGGAGCUAACGCGUUAAGUCGACCGCCUGGGGAGUACGGCCGCAAGGUUAAAACUCAAAUGAAUUGACGGGGGCCCGCACAAGCGGUGGAGCAUGUGGUUUAAUUCGAUGCAACGCGAAGAACCUUACCUACUCUUGACAUCCAGAGAACUUAGCAGAGAUGCUUUGGUGCCUUCGGGAACUCUGAGACAGGUGCUGCAUGGCUGUCGUCAGCUCGUGUUGUGAAAUGUUGGGUUAAGUCCCGCAACGAGCGCAACCCUUAUCCUUUGUUGCCAGCGGUUAGGCCGGGAACUCAAAGGAGACUGCCAGUGAUAAACUGGAGGAAGGUGGGGAUGACGUCAAGUCAUCAUGGCCCUUACGAGUAGGGCUACACACGUGCUACAAUGGCGCAUACAAAGAGAAGCGACCUCGCGAGAGCAAGCGGACCUCAUAAAGUGCGUCGUAGUCCGGAUUGGAGUCUGCAACUCGACUCCAUGAAGUCGGAAUCGCUAGUAAUCGUAGAUCAGAAUGCUACGGUGAAUACGUUCCCGGGCCUUGUACACACCGCCCGUCACACCAUGGGAGUGGGUUGCAAAAGAAGUAGGUAGCUUAACCUUCGGGAGGGCGCUUACCACUUUGUGAUUCAUGACUGGGGGUGAAGUCGUAACAAGGUAACC